GUGAGAGCGUUCCCGAGCCCGCACAGCAUCCCGGCCAGCAUCGCGAGGCCCCUGCCGUCGCCGUCGAGGACGUAGGCCGCCAGGGUGGAGCUUGGCACGCCGACCAUGGGCCGGUAGAGGAGCCACACGUUGAGGGCGGCGCUGACGGCGAGGCAUGCGAGGGAGAAGUAGAAGUAGGCCGUGUACACCGCCAGGUGCGGCACGCCGGCGGGGAGCGUGUGCCACUGGUCGUUAGUGGCCAGGUUGAACGCUGGCGCGAAGAGCGCGUAGAAGAUGCCCGCGAACACCACGAUGCCAAGGCCCAGCAGCGUGUGGGAUCCCAGCACCUGGGGAUACAGCUGAUGAGAUUUGGGGAAAUCAUGCAUGAAUUUGUAAGUAUUUAUUAUUUGUUGAUCCACCUACUUACUUUAAUCGACCUCUUCUCCUCCAGACCAACCAGGAACCCUGCCGUUCCUGCAUCCGGCUCUGCUUCUUGGGAUGGUAUCUCUAGCUCUAGGAGGUGUUUGGUGAGAUCCUUCUCCUCAUCUGCAGCUGCAGCUGCAUUGGAAGCGUUAUUAUUAGCCAGCUUCUCCUGGUUGUCGGCGGCAUUGGAAGCGUGGACAAGUGACCCAAGGAUGGCCGCAAUCAGGAAGCAGCCGACGCCAGGAAAGAGGAUCUCCGCCUUGUUCAUCCGGCCGUCCAGGAAAUAGUUGACCGUUGUCCCUAUGACGACCUUGAGGCUAGAGGCCAUGACUUCAGUGACGGAGAGCCCGACGAACGCCCAGCCGUACUGCGUGGCCAAUGUGCC
rnacentral:misc_RNA from 1 species